AGAAGAAGAUUCCAUGGGAAGGAGAGUUCACCCUUAGAAACGAUCCGUGAGCUGGGUUAAUAGCGUCCUGCGGCAGUU
rnacentral:rRNA from 1 species